rnacentral:rRNA from 1 species
CGUGGGGAAAGCGGCGAACGGGUGAGUAACACGUGGGGUAACCCACCCUUGGUACCGGGAUAGCCCGAGGAAACUCGGAUUAAUACCGGAUGGCCCAACAGCUCUUCGGGGCGGUUGGAAAAGGUAGCUUCGGCCUCCGACCAAGGACGGGCCCGCGGCGGAUUAGCUUGUUGGUGAGGUAACGGCUCACCAAGGCUUCGAUCCGUAGCUGGUCUGAGAGGACGAUCAGCCACACUGGGACUGAGACACGGCCCAG